UAUGUUCUUUUUAUCCUCAGAAAACAAAGACAUUGUAUGCUGACCAUCAUUUUUUGCUGUAAGGAAAUGACGAGUCAUUCAAAACCCUAUUGUGCUGAACGCCACUUCCCAGAUACAUCUUUCAAAAGUAAAGUGUGCCAUCAACACGUCACCAGUCUGACCUGACUCAGUUGUUGGAGUAUUGCCGCUUACUUAGUCCUCUUCUUCCUAAGUGGGAAACAAGGCUUCAACGAUCUGACGCCAUUCAUCUAAUUUUUUGUCUUGUUAUCUUCUGAGCCUCGCCCCAGACAAUAAAGAAAUCACCUACUGAACAUCAUUGUUGGCUGUGAG